UGAUCAGAGUGAGUAAAUAUACAAGAAAGGUUUUAUCAGCAAAAAGAACAAUAAUGGUAGUGAAAAGCAGGUUUCCUUCGAACUAAAAGGGAUUGUGUUUGAGAUGCGUAAUUUUCCCAAGGAAUCCAAAGUUCUCUACUAAUCAGAUCUGCUCUGAACUUGUUUUCCUGGUACUGUCCUGUCUUUCCGAGAGAUUCAAGAAGAACGAAACGCGCUUGAAGCAAUUGAAGAGCUCGGCCGGACAGUUCAACUGAAUCAAG
rnacentral:lncRNA from 1 species